UGUAGCUGAAUAUCCUUCUAAAACAAUCUGCUUUGGGAGCAGGGGGUCGUGGGUUCGAAUCCCGCUACCCCGA
rnacentral:tRNA from 1 species